rnacentral:lncRNA from 1 species
UUCUUCUUCCCUCCUCUUUCUUCCAACCAUCAAUGACAUUUCCUCAACCUUUUACUGCUACCACUCCACUAGUGCCUAAUGAACCAGUUCUGAAAAAGAAAUAUCUUUGCCAAGCAAGUUAGAUAAUCAACCAUUUCAAGCAUAAGAAAUCUUCAUUAUCCCUUGCUUUUUUUGGUCCUAUGCUUGCUCCGGAGCUUGUGCCAAAUCUUUUUGAGGGAACUUUCCCAAAUCUUGAAAACCAAGAAACCAUUGCUUUCUCUUCCUUCUUAUUCCUUCCGGUCCUAAACAACUUUUGUUGAUUCAACUGUCUCUUGUAUUUAGGACUCCAGAAAGAAUUAUACCGUUGUUUUCAAGAAAAAUAUGCAUUCUAUCAGAUCCCCUUUUGACAAGAAAAAUCGAAAAGCCUUUAAUUAUAACUUUUUUAUUCUUUUGGAAUAGCACUACUAGUAAUUUUCAUUUUCAAUAUGGCAUGAUUGGUUGUUAGAGGUCUUAGAUAUGACGCGAAACUAUCAACCCUUCUGUCGAAAAUCCAGUUAGGCACACCAAUGACAAAUCUAUUAGUAGUUUUUCUCCGUCGUUAUGGCUUUCCACAAAACUAACUCAGAAGGUUCUAACGAGGAACAUGUUGCCUUUAUUUUCUUUGGCUCUCUGCUCAUAUUUUCUGCAACAAAUCUGUUUUUGCAUUUCUUCUAACUUUCUGAAUGAAAAUUUAAGAUUGGCUCUAGGACAUUACCUAGCUGACCUCUCUUUCGCAACAUGUGUGCUGCAUUUUCUAAUUUAAGAGCCCUAACUUAAUAGCGGAGGACUAAUUUUACUUAUGUUUCGAAGAAAUACAUUAAUAGUGAUGACAAAUCUGAUUUCGCUCCCUUUUUAAUCUAUAUGUCGAAAGAAUAAUUUGGUCCUAUAUGGUUUACCAGAAAAUUUGGGAAGCUUUCAUUUAU